UGAACAGGCUAAUUUUGCGCAAGA
rnacentral:rRNA from 1 species